AAAACUUGAUAUUAUAUUUUGUCAAUUUUAAAGAGUUGCGUAGCAGCUUUUCUAAAUUUUAAAACUUUCAACAACGGAUCUCUUGGUUCUCGCAUCGAUGAAGAACGCAGCGAAAUGCGAUAAGUAAUGUGAAUUGCAGAUUUUCGUGAAUCAUUGAAUCUUUGAACGCACAUUGC
rnacentral:rRNA from 1 species